rnacentral:lncRNA from 7 species
ACUGCCUCCAGCUAAAAGUUGUUGUUCAAAAGUAUUUUAUAAUCUGAAAUCCAGGCUGGGAAUAAGUAAGUGACAGGUGUGCUGGGAGACAAGUGAGGCUAAUCAAGGGCUAACGUGACCAAAGAGACAGGAUUUCUGCUCAAUUUACUGUCUAGAAGCUGAUAGAAAAGUGGAAGAAUGGCGAUGCUGUGUUAAUGAAGCCAUGUGUGGGAAGAUGUAGGAGAGGAAGGGUCCCCGAGCCUUCACAAGCUUCUGCUUGCCGAGGGCCUAUUACAUGAGCAUCAUUGGAGGACACAUAAGUACCUGUUACCAUCUCAGAGUUAAGCAACAGGUUUGGCACUCUCCCCUCAGAAGAGGCCCAGCGCUGGGACAGCAGCCACGUCUCGCUACCCUGACUGAGAUGCAUUGAUGGGAACGAGUGGGAGUUUGCACAGAGUCCAGCUGCACCAAGCCUUGCUCUGGCCAGGAUUAAUCUUUCACUUUUAUGAGCACUGAAUUUCACCAACAUUGACCCCCAACUUAAAGAAAACUAACAAAAUCAUCUUACUAAAGCAAAUUCAUAUUUUUUUUUUCUGUGUAAAUGAAGCAAAGUCUUGUUUAAUUAUUUUUGUUAUUUUUGUUGCCUUGGAUAAGGAGAAUGUGGUAUGAGAUGCCAGACCAUUCACAGCCUCCUGGUUGUACCUGAAUUUAACUUGUCAAGAGCAAAAUGGAAAUGAUGGGCGCAGGGUAGAAGCUCCUCUGCUAAUGCUGAGCCAGGGAGCUGGGAGCCACCACUGAUGAGAUGCAGUCCAACUGUUCCUGCACUCCCAUCAGAAUUAAUUAGCCUGGCUGGGAGGCAGGACAGGUCUGUCUGGGCAGACUGCAACGACAGAGCAGCUACAGUGCUUGGUACCUCACUGAAUGAGUGCAGAGCAACACAGAAGUGCUAUCAGAAAGUUGUACUGAAUUCCAGGUGAGCCAGAUCACACUGUUUGUGAGAUCAGUUUUCUCAAAGACAUGUGCACAAUGCACCAAAUAUAUAUAUAUAUAUAUAUCUCUAUACAUUUCCUCCUAUGCUUUUCCUUUUAGGUAUAGUUUCAAGAGAAACAAAAGUCUGACUGCUUGAAAGCCACUGUCUGUGAAGUCAGCAAAACAGGUUAAACUGUUGCAAAAUAGUACCCUUUCCCAUCUCAUAUAUUUCCCAUCUCAUACUUCCAAAGCUGCAGCAGUUUGGCGGAAUGAGCACAGAAUAGGAAUUAGAAAUUUCAAAGCUAUCUAUUAAACUUACAUGUCCCUUUCAGUUUAGUUAAUGGAGUCAAAAUUCAAGACUGAUGAUCAAAAUCGGGAAUCUCUGGAGAAAUGCAAGGUAUGUUUAAGAUUUAAGUAGCUCAGAAAAUAGAAGAUGGUGUCCACUGUUAUGUCCUUAUCCAUCUGGAAAUAAGUGAAAAUAAUUCAGAAGUUAAGCAAGGCUGAUUUAACUUCAGAGCAGCUUUUCCAGGCACUUCUGUUUUUCUGCAUCCUUUCUAUUUUUGAAUGCUGAGCUCUGUCUAAAUUACAUACAAAAGCUCAAAAGGAGGCCUAGGAAGAAACUGAGAAGUCACAAGGAGAUGUUAGGUGAUUUUCUGGACAGAAUGUCACUGAGAAAAAUCUUAGUUCCUUUCUCUCUUCGAAAGCAACGAACCUGGAUUUCAUUUCUGAUACAAAGGUGGUUCUUUUACUUUCAAAUUAGCAGUCUUUAUUGGUGUAGACUUUGUCAUGAAAGAAUAUCACACACUGUUCUAGCUGGCUGAAUUGUUUUUUUUUCUCAUGAUGUUCAGGAGCAUCCAUCAGACCUUAGUAGUUGCAGUUCUACAUGACAAAAAACAAUAAUAAUAAUUAAAAAAAAUCAAAAAAAUCAAACACUCUUAAGAGAAGCAACAACACUAAUGGGGAGAAAUGUUAACAGGAGUACUGAUUCAUAUAAUUAAUGAAGGCAGGCAGGAACUGUGGAGAGUGAAAGAGCUGUUGGAACAUGCUUUUCCUGAGAGAACACCUAAAUUAAGAGGCUGUCGGAGACAUAUGUUUCAUAGUGUUGGCAACCCAGGUGUAACAAAUUUCCAAGAUGGCUAUUAGUGAGUACUUACAGCUAAAAAAGCAUUUCUAAUUUCUUGCUGAAUAUGGAGACUUAAGUGUCCGGGGGAACAGGGAACUGUGAGCAGAAGCGAAGGUCACUGGAGAAACAUGUGCAAAAUGAUGCCCUUUAGAAGGAAAAUGUUGAUGACUUCUGCACGUGGUGGGCUUCAAAUCAACUGUUUUGAUUAAUGAGAAAGAACCUCAAAUGGAGGGAGUGGAAAGAUCGACUCCUACUUUCCUGGUGCAGACAUUUUCACUUUCAAUGUCGUGUUUUUUGUCUUG